rnacentral:rRNA from 1 species
GACAGAGGGUGCAAACGUUGUUCGGAAUUACUGGGCGUAAAGCGCGUGUAGGCUGCUCUGCAAGUCGGAUGUGAAAGCCCUGGGCUCAACCUAGGAAGUGCAUUCGAAACUGCGGAGCUUGAGUCCUGGAGAGGAAGGCGGAAUUCUCGGUGUAGAGGUGAAAUUCGUAGAUAUCGAGAGGAACACCUGAGGUGAAGACGGGUUGCUGGGCUGACACUGACGCUGAGGCGCGAAAGCUAGGGUAGCAAACGGG